rnacentral:tRNA from 1 species
GGUCGCAUGGUCUAGUUGGUUUAGGACGUUCGCCUGUCACGCGAAAGAUCACGGGUUCGAAUCCCGUUGUGACCG